UAAAAUUUACCAUUUUAACUGUUUCGAAGUACAUAAUUCAAUUUCACUAAUUACUUUCACAGUGUUGUAUAACCAUCAUCACUCUCCAUUUCUAGAACUUUUUAUCAUGCUCAUACUGAAACAUUCAACCAUUAAAUAAUAGCAUCUCCCUGCUACUCUUUACCAAUCUCUGUAAACUCUAUUCUGUUUUUUUGUCUCUUGCCUAUUCUACUUCCUCCUUCCCCUUUCCUUGCCCUCACCUCCUCUCAAAGGGAACAGUGUGCAAUGACAUAAAGCUUGGGGGUAACUCCGAAAUUGUGAAUGUCUGAACCAGUGAUAGGGGGUGGCAGUGGGUAUCAUGUGUGUCCUCCUCCACAGCACCAAGGGCUCUCCUUUGGCUCCAAGAGGACUGGGAGUAUCCCCAGAUGGCUUCCCGGCCCCUCUGCUUUGCAGCACUCUGUUUGAACAUCAUUGUGCUUGAGAAGGAAAAAUCCAAGCUCAUGACAUGAGGAUCGGAUAACUGUACUCGAUCCCAUCAGAAUUAACAGAUGCACAGAGACAGAACAUGGAUUCCUGUUUGUCAGAGACUGGAGGAAAGGGAGUGUGGGCCGUGACUGCUAAUGGUAACAAGGGAUCCUUUUUGGAGUGAUGGGAAGGUUUAAAAGUUACAUUGCGGUGAUGUUCACACAACUCAGAGCCAUCGAACUGCACACUUGGCACAGGUGAAUUGUAUAGGUAAAGGGUAUCUCAUGCUGUUUUUAAAAAGCCGCCCCCCCCACUCUCCCUAGGACCUUUAGAUAUGCACAGUUUGUGGGGGAGGGGGAGAUAUUUGGUACCAGGACAGGAAGGCUUCCAAGUUACCAGAAACUGCUAGAAAGCGCCAAGUAAUCGUAGAUCUGAACCGGUUUUGCUGCUAGGUAGGCUACACCAAAACUCCCCAUCCUGCGUUUUUAGAGCUUUUGGAAUUCUGGAAUGCUCUGAAGAGAAACAAAGAAGUCUGACAGAAUCCCAUUGCCAGUAAGAGUUCAUGUGAGAAUUCUGUGAACAAGAAAGCAGGCUCUUGUCUGAGGGGGAGAAAACAACCCUAAACCUGAUUUUUAGAGUCAUCUUUCCAGAUCCUGCAGUGGCCCUUACAAAGUGCACACAGUCUGACCUUUUUGUCUGUAUUGACUGUGGUCCCUGGAACACACGUGCCUCCUGGGCACACACCCUGGGGACAGUUUGUGGGGCCCCAUGCAGUACAGACCCUGCUGUGAGAGGACCCGACCCAGCUGAGUGAGGACCUUCCCUCGCUUAGAGGUUUGUUGGCUCUUACAUCAACACAGUUGCCGUUCUGUACUUAGAUCCCAAACCAGAUGGCAUAAGGGAAAAAAUAGAGAAUUCCUUAUGGCUCUGGUAUGUCUCCUCCCUGGCCCCAAAUUCUCAAUUUCUUUCCACAGGGCAGGGGAGAGAUUUUCAGAGAGGCUGAGCUGAUCUCUGCCAAAGGAGAAUGCCUGUCCCGUACGUGGCCAUGAUAGCAGUGAGCCCCUUUGCCUGCUCCCCCAACAGCCUUUCCCAAUGGGGCCGCUUGAGGCUGGUGUAAACGGUGUGGUGCAGGCUUCCAAGUGGAAGCCCCAAGAGGCUGGAUCCUCUGCUCCGAUUGCGAUCUGCGGACUGGCCUCACCUGGAACCUGUGACAAAUUCGGAGUCUCAGGCCCCAACCCAAACCUGCUGGCUCACAGCUUGCGUCUCAGCAAGAUUUCCAGAUGCUUCCAACAACAUGCAUUAAAGUUGAGAAGCACUAGCUUAGAGGAAGACCCAAGUAAUAGGAAGAACUGGAAAGGAAUUGAAGAAGCGAUUUUUAUCCUUUAUAGAUCUAGAAGUCUCUGUCUCUUUGGCAGAGGCUGAGGACGGCCACAGGGUUUCACUCCUCCCCGACUGUCCGUGGAGAGGCCGGUCAUUGAGGCCCUGAGUCCUGCUCAGGAGUCUCGGCUUGGCUUAGCAGUGUCUGGGUGUCCAGUGAGGCUGCUGCGAAAGUAUCGGCUGAGGCCGCAGUCUCAUCAGAAGGACCAACCAUGGAAGAAUCCACUUCCCAGCUCACUGCAUGCUUUUUGGCAGGACUUGCUCCCUCACAGACUGCUGGCCCAAGACACCUCUGGAUUCUUUGCCGUAUGUGCUUUCACAUAGCUCCCUCAUGACUUGGCAACUGGUUUCAUGAGAGAGAGCAAGUAAGCGGGUGAGAGAGAAAGUUCCAGCAAGCCAGAAGUCAUGGUCUUUGGAAACCUCAUCAGGGAAGCACGUCCCUAGAUCCAGGCACUCAGGGAGAGGGAAUCACAAAAGGGUGUGACCACCAUGAGGCAUGGGGACCUUCUGGAGUAUCUUAGAAAGCUGCCUGCCAUAGCCGUAUACACGUUUCUGGGUAGAAGUGCGCCCUUCCUCCCCCCAGAGCGUGGUCUUCUCUCCUUGAGGACAGUGGCCCCUUCACUUUCCUGUCACCGAGUAGAGGAGCCUGUAGGUUCUGCAGCCACAGAAUCUGUCCCAGGAGAUUACCCCACCCAGGUGGGGGGUGGCUCCUGCUUUUUGCUGCGGAUCCUUUGUUCCCCACAGAGAUUCACAACCCUCUUAAAAUUACUAGUGUUUUUUGUAAACAUCAAGCUUAAGAAACAGGUCUCUCUUUUUUGGAAGGUAUAAUUGACAUGUGUAAGGUGCAUAUAUUUAAAGUGGCCUGUUUGCUAACUUGGAUAUGUGAAUGUGCCUGCGAAACCAGCAGCACAAGCCAAAUGGUCCUUCGAUUCACAGGUGUCCCCAGGUCCCUCUGUAGGCCCUCUCUCUCACCUGCCCUCUCUGACCAACCGUCAUUUUCUGGAAUGGCCCUUCUGAUGAUUUGUUCACAUAAAUUCCCUACUGUUUCUUGAACCCAGCCAUUCCUGUAAAAUGUGUGACACUGACUGUGUUAGAUAAUAAAAAUCCCACUGAGUAAAUUGUAUAGAUCCAAUUGGUUCUGUUAAAUGGUGGAUGACUCUGUCGGCAUCCCAUCGAGCAAGUAGAGGGGCUCUGAGUAUUUGUUCAAAAUGGAGGGUUUUCAAAGAAGGAUGGUGAGGCAAGAAAUUUAUAGCAAAAGGAAAGGAUUGUUCCAGGCAACGCCCUUCUUUUAGGGAGAAAAGCAAGGGGUCCUGACAUCUCAUACGGAUGACCUCAUCUUUCCUUGGGGGAUGGAGAAGACCCCUGUGGCAGACUCUUUGGCGCUGGCUGAUUGAAAAAAUUCCUGACUGACUGGUUAUGACUGCAUUUCUGGGAGAGGCUGACAUAGCUAGAUUAGGUGUUAAGCCCCUGACUUGGGGACUUGGCCUAAGUGAUGCCUUUUGGGCCUGUGGUUUUCCUAUUAACAGCUGCUUCAUGGCUCCAGCCUUUGAUUUUCAUCCUUCCUGCCUCUGUGGAACACACCCUGUGCCCUUUGACUAAAGCUCUGAAAGGCCCAUUCUGCUCCCACCCACUCCAGUCUGGCCUACACAGCCCGGCCAGAUAGAUUUCUCACCAGCGCCCCUCAGGCCUCAUCCUUCACCUGCUCACAAACCUGCCUCUGUCCCCGCUGCCUGCCAAGGGAAGGACUCCCGGCUUCUCCUGUGAUGCUGCCCCAUGUCUCCAUAAAGUCGGCCAUGUCCUCACCUCGUCCCACUGGGCCUCCUCUCUUCCCCCGCUACACGCAGUUGUUGAAUUUGUUCACUCUUAAUUUGAGAAGAUGUCAUUACUUUGAUAAAAAUUAUCUUGUACUGCUUGUGCCAUAUUGCAAAUGUUAGAGGCUAAUCUAUUUUUAAGAUUUUCACAACAUGCC